rnacentral:lncRNA from 1 species
UGGGCCAGUCUAUUGGCUCAGUCGCUCCCUAGGAACUCUGGGUUGUGUUGCUGGUAGGCGUGUUGUCGCAGCCACGUUUUGGGGUGCGUGUUGAAGGUGCUUCGAGUCAAUCCAUUUUCAUCGUUUGAAAUAUGAAGUGUGUACCUGUGGCUAUUCAACGUGCCGGUAUCGAGCUACCACGUGUGUACCGGACCGCGCGGCGGUCACGUAAAACACGAACUGGCCCUGCUGGCGUGAGCUGAACAGUGCUGUGGAUGUAGGCGUCCGUUACACUCUCCCUGCCGGCGUAAGCCGAACACUGAUGUGGAGGCACCGUAAUACUCUGUCUGGUCCCUGCCGGCGUAAGCUGAACACUGCUAUCGAGGGGCAACUACCCGCACUCUUGCAAUGUAAGAGGACGAGGAGGAAGUGAAGCGAAAGAUGGCUGAACAUGAGCGCUGGUGGAUGUAUCAUCUUGCCACAUCUCAAAGGUUUCCUUGAAAUGCCUGUGCAGUCAAAUGCAGUCGGCGAGAAGGCUUUUCACUGCCUUGGCUCCUCUAGGCUUCUCGCUGUGCUUCUACUGCUGUAGUGGGUGAGUGGAUCUUUAUUUUAAUUUGACUUUUUGUGCUGAUGAAUUAGAUACUGCCCCAGUCCUACUUUUCGUGCGGAUCAGUGUUUCUGACGUUUUGCAUAGCAUUAAUUCUAACUGAUGAGCAACUGUACUGCUGGUGCUAAUAGCCUUUUCAUUCUUCUAGGCUUUUCCCAGUGCCUCGGCUGCUCUAGUUGGUGAGUGGAUCUGUUCCAAUCUUUUCCCUCUUUUGUAUGCAACCUAGUGUGAACGGAUUGGUUCUCUUGUAAUUUUUGUGUUCCGGGCAUUGUGGUAUGGCCACCUGCAUGUAUUCAUACUGAUGAGUGGGGCUCUGGUACCAGCGUAUGUAAAUAACUGCCACUUUUAGCUUCCGAUUUUAAAUUUGAAACUCUUUUUAUUAGUUUACCAUCUGCAAGACCGUUCAAGCUUGCCAAGUAGCCAGUUCUCAUGAGCCAGACAGUAGUGUUGCAGGCAUAACUGAUGGAACUCAACUUUUCAUUGUUUCUUGCUUUUAUCAUUGUGCAACUAAUCUGUAUCAAAUGUGGCUGUGCAAUGUACUCUAUUUUUUAAUUGAUGGGUAUUUCCUAUGAAGAGUGCAUCAAUGGUUUUGUUCAUUGUUCCUACAGAUACAGCGGGAUGCCAGCCACUGCAUCUUCACGAAACAGCUUUUGACAAAAUAAAAAGUUUUAAUUCAAA